rnacentral:sRNA from 1 species
GUAAGUAGCCAUAAAUCUCGAUCAUGACAGGGCACGAAAGUAAGCCGUUUGGAAGUAAGCCUCCGCAAUGCCGUCGACUUGCAAUUUCCAUUUUAUGGCCUACGAAGAAUUCUGCUGCAGUCGGGGAUGCCUGGAUGCUUCAAGUUGCAGAAUGCGGCCUGCUGGCUGCUGUCUUCGGGCCGUCGACAGGCAGUUAAUGCUGUUUGCCAGCCAGAUUUGGCCAGACGUUGUGAAAAUGUUUGCACUGCACUUGCCAGUCAGGAGUGGAGGAGUCUUGUUAUUAUUGCUGCCGCCGCUGACGCUGCUGCUGAAGCCUCGCUAAGCCCUGCAGCUCCCAAAUUUCUCCAGCGAUGGAACAGGAUGGAAUCAAGACGUCAGCAUCACUCCAGUCAUCACCUGCAUCUCGUCCUGCACCUCCAUGCGCCGCAAUACCUAUAGAAUUGAAUAGAAGAUAAGAAAUGUCCGUUUUCGCUUCCUAAUUAUUGAGGAAAACUGUAAAAUUGUAUCGUAUUGUAAAAUCUAUGUAAGCAGAUCGUUAGGGAUUGCUCUUCCGCAUCGUUAGAGCCAUUCCACGUCAAAAUCGGAUGAGAAAUGUCAAAAUAUCGAAAAAUAACCGAAAAAAUUGAAAUUCAAACGAAAUCCUUGAUCCUUUUCGAUAAUCCACAUCCAAUUUUGACGGGAAUUGCCUUAAACGGUCCAGAAGAACAAUCCCCACCGAUUUGCGACCAAAAAAUUUGUAUUCAUUGGCCAUAACAUGUUUUUGGCCAAAACGGUAUUAGCCAAGUCAAGAUUGUUGUUGUAAAUAAUAAAUGUAAUGGCCAAAUGGUCAUCUUAACCCAUUAUUGGGAUCAA